rnacentral:lncRNA from 1 species
CCGCUUUCAACCAGAGAUACAUUGACAGUUUAAGCUUCUUACCCAUGAGAUUGUCUCAAAUGCCUGAGGCCUUGGGUUUUGAGAACUCUGUGAAAGGUUGGUUUCCCCAUUUUUUUUUUACAUCUGAGGAGAAUUUACACUAUAUAGGAUCUUAUCCGAGACCUGAAAUGUACGGUUGUGAUCAAAUGUCUCCCAAAGAGCGAGAGAGAUUCAUGACAUGGUACGAGACAGUAUGUCACAGCACUUUUGAUUUCCACAAAGAGAUGGAGUCAUACUGUGACAACGACGUGGUUAUCCUUCGCGAGGGGUGCCUCAGAUUCAGAGCAGAGGUCAUCAAAGAUGCAGGCAUUGACCCCUGGAGUUGUACAACUAUUGCAUCGGCAUGCAUGAAAACCUAUCGUACACACUUUCUACCUCUAGCAUCUAUAGCUAUCCCCUCGCCUGACAACUACCGACGCCAAUUUAAGUCAUACUCUAGUGGCUCCAUUCAGUGGUUGGAGUACUUGGCCCAGGAUAAAGACAUUUUUAUUCAACAUGCUUUGAAUAGGGGUGAGAAGGCGUUUGGGCCUUAUCAUGUAGAUGGAUACACACAGAUUGACGGUGUUGAGACCGUGUUUGAGUACAACGGUUGUUUCUUCCACGGUUGUAAAUCAUGCUUUGAGUCACAGGCCAUGUGUGUCCUAACCCAAAAGACUUUUGGUGAAAUGUACCUAGAGUUUCAAGACAAAUUGGAAUCUUUACAGGCUACUUAUGGUUUGAAAGUGAAUGUUAUGUGGGAGCAUGAGUGGACCGCACUCAAAAAGUCUGAUCCUCAUGUUCGAGCUUUCCUUUCCAGCUUUGACACACCCGAACCCUUGGAGCCACGACAGGCCCUGUAUGGAGGCCGUACCAAUGCUUUGACCUUGCGGUAUGUAGCGCAACGAGACGAGACAAUAGGUUAUGUAGAUUUUACAUCUCUUUAUCCUCAUGUAAUGAGUUCCUCAUGCUAUCCUAUGGGGCAUCCUGAAAUUAUUCACCGCGACUUUGACUUACCCCAAAACUAUUUUGGUCUGAUCAAAGCAACGGUCUACCCACCUAGGGGUUUGUUUAUACCAGUGUUGCCUUACAAGGGACCUCAAGGAAAACGUUUCUUUC